rnacentral:rRNA from 1 species
UACGUAGGGGGCAAGCGUUGUCCGGAAUUAUUGGGCGUAAAGCGCGUGUAGGCGGCCAGAUAAGUCCGCUGUGAAAUCUGGAGGCUCAACCUCCAGCGGUCAUUGGAAACCAUCUGGCUAGAGUCCGGAAGAGGAGAAUGGAAUUCCUGGUGUAGCGGUGAAAUGCGCAGAUAUCAGGAGAACACCGUGGCGAAGGCGGAUCUCUGGGCGUACUGACGCUGAGACGAGAAGCUGGGGAGCGAACAGGAUUAGA